CAGUCGCCACGGUAAUACGGAGGGAGCUAGCGCUGUUCGGAAUUACUGGGCGUAAAGCGCGCGUAGGCGGUUACUCAAGUCAGAGGUGAAAGCCCGGGGCUCAACCCCGGAACUGCCUUUGAAACUAGGUGACUAGAAUCUUGGAGAGGUCAGUGGAAUUCCGAGUGUAGAGGUGAAAUUCGUAGAUAUUCGGAAGAACACCAGUGGCGAAGGCGACUGACUGGACAAGUAUUGACGCUGAGGUGCGAAAGCGUGGGGAGCAAACAGGAUUAGAUACCCCGGUAGUCCCUGUCUCUUAUAC
rnacentral:rRNA from 1 species